CGUUAAUAGCGGUAUCUCUUGACGUUAGCUGCAGAAGAAGCACCGGCUAACUCCGUGCCAGCAGCCGCGGUAAUACGGAGGGUGCGAGCGUUAAUCGGAAUUACUGGGCGUAAAGCGCAUGCAGGUGGUUCGUUAAGUCAGAUGUGAAAGCCCGGGGCUCAACCUCGGAACUGCAUUUGAAACUGGUGAACUAGAGUCUGUAGAGGGGGGUAGAAUUUCAGGUGUAGCGGUGAAAUGCGUAGAGAUCUGAAGGAAUACCAGUGGCGAAGGCGGCCCCCUGGACAGAUACUGACACUCAGAUGCGAAAGCGUGGGGAGCAAACAGGAUUAGAUACCCUGGUAGUCCACGCCGUAAACGAUGUCUACUUGGAGGUUGUGGUCUUGAGCCGUGGCUUUCGGAGCUAACGCGUUAAGUAGACCGCCUGGGGAGUACGGUCGCAAGAUUAAAACUCAAAUGAAUUGACGGGGGCCCGCACAAGCGGUGGAGCAUGUGGUUUAAUUCGAUGCAACGCGAAGAACCUUACCUACUCUUGACAUCCAGAGAACAGUAGAGACACAUGAGUGCCUUCGGGAGCUCUGAGACAGGUGCUGCAUGGCUGUCGUCAGCUCGUGUUGUGAAAUGUUGGGUUAAGUCCCGCAACGAGCGCAACCCUUAUCCUUGUUUGCCAGCGUAAUGUCGGGAACUCCAGGGAGACUGCCGGUGAUAAACCGGAGGAAGGUGGGGACGACGUCAAGUCAUCAUGGCCCUUACGAGUAGGGCUACACACGUGCUACAAUGGCGCAUACAGAGGGCUGCCAACUAGCGAUAGUGAGCGAAUCCCAAAAGUGCGUCGUAGUCCGGAUUGGAGUCUGCAACUCGACUCCAUGAAGUCGGAAUCGCUAGUAAUCGUAGAUCAGAAUGCUACGGUGAAUACGUUCCCGGGCCUUGUACACACCGCCCGUCACACCAUGGGAGUGGGCUGCAAA
rnacentral:rRNA from 1 species